rnacentral:piRNA from 2 species
UCUAAAUCCAUGCCAUGUUGCAGAGAGUUC